AUGCUCACUUCAGUAGCACAAAUAUUAAAAUUAGAAAAAUACAGAAUCAAUUAGCAUUGCUUGUUGCAUAAGGAUAACAUGCAAAUUUGUGAAGCAGUCUAUAUUCCA